rnacentral:lncRNA from 1 species
UACGGUAAUAUUACACCAAGAUCUAGUACCACCCAACAAAAGCACUCUUUGAAUCCUCUCACGCUGAAUUGACUUUACAGUCUUCCUUCUUCUCUCUAGGUCUUGAAGACUCACAGUAAUAGAAAGAGUCCUAAGAUGUGUAUUCAAGAUUCAGUUUGCUAUUUGCUAGAUACCACUGUUCAUGUUGGGAGUAACAGGGAAAACAUCUCCAGUGGGCAGUGGUAGGACUUCCAGAGUACUGAAAACAGAGAGUUCCAUCAGAGUCCUUCAACCUCCGAAGCAAGGGGACAUUUGCAUCCCUCAUCUCAUGUCUUCUGCAAGGGAUUUACCUCAGUGGAAGGUUCAAAUUCACCAGUAACUAUCUUCUCAGCAUUCUAAAAUCUUUCACUCUAAAGGUCAGAUAUUAAACAAAAUUAAAUAUUUUGUUCUCUUCUACCCUCUUCAGAGGCCAAGCAUUUCACUGAAGACUGCUGGCAACCAGGAGUCAGAGCACAUUAUCUGUUAUUAGCACAGAGCUAGUUGUUGCUUGGGGCUGCAGGAGAAA